GUGCAUCUGUUUGUGACACCUGAAGCAGUUAACUCUCUGUUUCUAAGGUUUCUAUUACAGAUGCAAGAAAAAAAAAGUAGUCUCCUUGCACUCUCCACCUGCCUGUGGCAGUCAAGAUUGAAUAGAGGAAUGCAAAG
ensembl:snoRNA LOC120102627 small nucleolar RNA SNORA31